AUUGAACGCUGGCGGCAGGCCUAACACAUGCAAGUCGAGCGGGGGUAGCAAUACCCUAGCGGCGAACGGGUGAGGAAUGCUUGGGAAUCUGCCUGGUAGUGGGGGAUAACGUUCCGAAAGGAACGCUAAUACCGCAUACGUCCUACGGGAGAAAGGGGGGGACCUUCGGACCUCUCGCUAUCAGAUGAGCCCAAGCGGGAUUAGCUAGUUGGUGGGGUAAAGGCUCACCAAGGCGACGAUCCCUAGCUGGUCUGAGAGGAUGAUCAGCCACACUGGAACUGAGACACGGUCCAGACUCCUACGGGAGGCAGCAGUGGGGAAUAUUGGACAAUGGGCGAAAGCCUGAUCCAGCCAUGCCGCGUGUGUGAAGAAGGCCUUCGGGUUGUAAAGCACUUUAAGCGAGGAGGAAGGUUCGUCACCUAAUACGUGACGGAAUUGACGUUACUCGCAGAAUAAGCACCGGCUAACUCUGUGCCAGCCGCCGCAGUAAAAC
rnacentral:rRNA from 1 species